rnacentral:rRNA from 1 species
AGAGUUUGAUUCUGGCUCAGAACGAACGCUGGCAGCGUGGAUUAGGCAUGCAAGUCGAACGGGAUCCCUUGGGUUCAAUUCUUCGGAAAAGUUUCCUUGGGUGAGAGUGGCGGAAGGGUGAGUAACGCGUGGGUGAUUUACCUCUGAGUGGGGAACAACCCCGGGAAACCGGGGCUAAUACCGCAUACGGUUGUCUGUCGCAUGGCAGACGGACUAAAGGUGGGGAUCUUCGGACCUACCGCUCGGAGAGAAGCCCGCGUACGAUUAGCUUGUUGGUAGGGUAAUGGCCUACCAAGGCUCCGAUCGUUAGCUGGUCUGAGAGGAUGAUCAGCCACACUGGGACUGAGACACUGCCCAGACUCCUACGGGAGGCUGCAGUCGAGGAUCAUUUGCAAUGCGCGAAAGCGUGACAAUGCGACGCUGCGUGGAGGACGACGGCCUUCGGGUUGUAAACUCCUGUCAUGCGGGAAAAACUAAGCGGUCAAGAUAAUGGGCCGCUCCUGAUGGUACCGCAAGAGGAAGCCACGGCUAACUUCGUGCCAGCAGCCGCGGUAAUACGAAGGUGGCUAGCGUUGUUCGGAUUUACUGGGCGUAAAGCGUGCGUAGGUGGUUACGUAUGUCGGAUGUGAAAGCCCGGGGCCCAACCCCGGAAUUGCAUCCGAAACUGCGAAACUAGAGUCCAGGAGGGGAGAGCGGAAUUCAGGGUGUAGCGGUGAAAUGCGUUGAUAUCCUGAAGAACACCGGCGGCGAAGGCGGCUCUCUGGAAUGGUACUGACACUGAGGCACGAAAGCGUGGGGAGCAAACAGGAUUAGAUACCCUGGUAGUCCACGCCGUAAACGGUGCGCACUUGGUGUGGGAGGUAUUGACCCCUCCCGUGCCGGAGCUAACGCGUUAAGUGCGCCGCCUGGGGAGUACGGCCGCAAGGCUAAAACUCAAAGAAAUUGACGGGGGCCCGCACAAGCGGAGGAGCAUGUGGCUUAAUUCGAUGCAACGCGAAGAACCUUACCAGGGCUUGACAUGUAACUGCAUACCACCUGAAAGGGAGGUAGCCUUCGAGGGUGUUACACAGGUGCUGCAUGGCUGUCGUCAGUUCGUGCCGUGAGGUGUUUGGUUAAGUCCAGCAACGAACGCAACCCCUGUGUCUAGUUGCCACCGGCGGUGAUGAGCCGCUGAGCACUCUAGACAGACUGCCCGUACAAGCGGGAGGAAGGUGGGGACGACGUCAAGUCAGUAUGGCCCUUACGCCCUGGGCUGCACACGUGCUACAAUGGUCGGUACAGAAGGAAGCAAUAUCGCGAGGUGGAGCAAAUCCUGAAAACCGGCCCCAGUUCGGAUUGGAGUCUGAAACUCGACUCCAUGAAGUUGGAUUCGCUAGUAACGGCGUAUCAGCUACGACGCCGUGAAUACGUUCCCGGGCCUUGUACACACCGCCCGUCACAUCAUGAAAGCCGUCUGCACCCGAAGUCGCUGAUCUAACCCGCAAGGGAUGAAGGCGCCGAAGGUGUGGGUGGUGAUUGGGAUGAAGUCGAAACAAGGUA